rnacentral:rRNA from 1 species
UACGUAGGGUGCAAGCGUUGUCCGGAAUUAUUGGGCGUAAAGAGCUCGUAGGCGGUCUGUCGCGUCUGCUGGUGAAAACUCAGGGCUUAACCCUGAGCUUGCAGUGGGUACGGGCAGACUAGAGUGCGGUAGGGGAGACUGGAAUUCCGUGGUGUAGCGGUGAAAUGCGCAGAUAUCAGGAGGAACACCGGUGGCGAAGGCGGGUCUCUGGGCCGUAACUGACGCUGGAGGAGCGAAAGCAUGGGGGAGCGAACAGGA